GAGGACCCGGAGCUGCCCCGGGGUUGCAGAGGUCUGGCAGGUGGGCCCGCUCCCAGAGAGUUCACCUGUGGCGUUCCCGCCUGGAAACCGAAGCAGGUGUGCAGGCAAUAGGUCGGAGGUGCCUUCUCAUCCCCACCUGACAGCACUUCUCUGCUCUGGCUCCAGGAGACCUGAAGUUCUGAACAUCAGCAUGUGAGUCAGUGAUGCAGCUUGUCACAGGACGUCAGCAUUCAGAGAAAGCAGCAGGUCCAUUUGGCACAGUGUCAUCAUCAUGUCAGGACAGGAGCUUUUUUGGUGGUGGAGUCAGAAGG